rnacentral:rRNA from 1 species
GAUGAACGCUAGCGGCAGGCUUAAUUCAUGCAAGUCGAGGGGCAGCGGGAGUAGCAAUACUUGCCGGCGACCGGCGCACGGGUGCGUAACACGUAUGUAAUCUGCCCAUCACAGGAGGAUAGCCCGGAGAAAUUCGGAUUAAUACUCCAUAAUAAAUUGAGUGGCAUCACUUGAUUUUGAAAGUUCCGACGGUGAUGGAUGAACAUGCGACUGAUUAGUUAGUUGGUGAGGUAACGGCUCACCAAGACCACGAUCAGUAGGGGUACUGAGAGGUUAAACCCCCACACUGGUACUGAGACACGGACCAGACUCCUACGGGAGGCAGCAGUAAGGAAUAUUGGACAAUGGCCGCAAGGCUGAUCCAGCCCUGCCGCGUGCAGGAAGACGGACCUAUGGUUUGUAAACUGCUUUUGAACUAGAGAAAACCCCUUUACGUGUAAAGGGCUGAUAGUAUAGUUAGAAUAAGCAUCGGCUAACUUCGUGCCAGCCGCCGCUGUAACAC